UACGUAGGGUGCAAGCGUUGUCCGGAAUUAUUGGGCGUAAAGAGCUCGUAGGCGGUUUGUUGCGUCGGCUGUGAAAUCCCGAGGCUCAACCUCGGGUCUGCAGUCGAUACGAGCAAACUAGAGUGUUGCAGGGGAGACUGGAAUUCCUGGUGUAGCGGUGAAAUGCGCAGAUAUCAGGAGGAACACCGGUGGCGAAGGCGGGUCUCUGGGCAUGUCCUGACGCUGAGGUGCGAAAGCGUGGGGAGCAAACAGG
rnacentral:rRNA from 1 species